GACAGAGGUUGCAAACGUUGUUCGGAAUUACUGGGCAUAAAGAGCACGUAGGUGGUCUGCUAAGUCGAGUGUGAAAUCCCCCGGCUCAACCGGGGAAUUGCGCUCGAUACUGGUAGGCUUGAGGUCGGUAGGGGUGAGCGGAACUCCAGGUGGAGCGGUGAAAUGCGUAGAUAUCUGGAGGAACACCGGUGGCGAAAGCGGCUCACUGGACCGAAUCUGACACUGAGGUGCGAAAGCUAGGGUAGCAAACGGG
rnacentral:rRNA from 1 species